AUGAAUCUGGGCGAGCUGGUUGAGUCCAUGCGUUUGUGCUUCCUCUCAACUUUCGCUUACCAUGGGGCGACUCUUGUCCAUCGUCGCCUCACCUGGAAACUUGUCCUGCCGGCCCAGUUAAUGGUCCCCUGUACCAUCUCCUUCCUGAGUGACUACUGAGCAGCCGCAGGGACUCGGGGUUGCUCCGUGACCACGUUACUCAGUUACCUUCUUGUUCCUUGGAGAGGCGGAGCUGAAUGGCCCGUGUCAGCCAUCGGACCCCGAGUCUCCAGCCGUGUUAUCUGCAGACUGUGAUUGUAUGUGCCAAGGUGACUUUGGAAGAGGUUUCUGAGCCUCAGAUGAGACCCCAGUCUGGCCAACACUUUGAAGCCUUGUGAGAAUCUGACCAUCCAACUAAGCCUUGCCCUGACUCCUGACCCAUGGAAACUGUGAGAUAAUAAAUG